rnacentral:lncRNA from 1 species
GCAGUUGUUUGGGCUGUCGCUGUGGCUGGUUCUGCGGUGUGCGGCCAGCCAUGGAGCGCUCUGGGCCCAGCGAAGUGACAGGCUCAGACGCAUCGGGACCGGACCCGCAGCUUGUGGUCACCAUGGGCUUCACGGGGUUCGGGGUUCGGUAAAAAAGCUCACACAUUUGACUUGGAAGCAAUGUUUGAACAAACUCAAAGAACAGCUGUGGAAAGAAGUCACAAAACACUGGACCAGAUUACAGAGGGGUAUUGAUUUGCCUUGCCCCCGCCCCCACCAUCACAGUGUGUCCCUGUCCAGUGUUGGUGCUGUGUGGCAUUGCUUGUGUCCAUAGGAGUCCAUCAAGGCAGAGCGGCAGAGCGGCAAGCAGAGCGGCAAGGCAGUUCAACCCAAUGGAAAUGGAUUGAAAGAGUGAAAGUCACUGGUCUCAAAGAAUCUACGGAAUUUAGCAUUUUGAAAAUCACAGAGCAAUUUUGGGUAGGUAUUCACAUGCACUAAAAAACCAGGCAAACAUCUGACUCCCAGGAUAAAGUGACUGAGAGCAGUAGAAGACUUGUUGAGCCUUAAGGAAUAAGAGGAAAAUUAUGUUAUGAAGUGCAGGAACAGCACAGACCCAGACGAGGGGAUGCAGCCCGGAGCCAGUAACCCGGCGCCUCCUCCUCCCCAGGGCGCAGCGCUGGCUGCUCCCCGGAUACCGUGAUCACACGUCCCAGGUCCUGAGAGCGCCUCAUAGGUAGACAGUUCUUUGGGACUUUUGGGACGCAGCACUUGAAGAGAGGUUUACCUAAACUUUCCUCCUGGGAGCCUGUCAUCAUUUGAAAGUAACAGAAGAAAGCUGUCAGGCUGAGGAAAGUUUCAACAGGCACUUGGUGAGAAUGGGAAGCAUCCAUUCAUUGGGAAAUCACGGGGACAGAGGAGGAAUUCACGGGAUCAGAGCACUGAGAAACUCCAGAGGCUUCUGGUUCACCGCCCUGAUUCCACAGAUGUGGGUCAGAGGCAGAGAUGGAAGUUGGAAUGGACAAGCCUGCCCUCUCCUCAGCUCUCCAUGGCUCUGUCCUCAGGCUGUUUCUGCAAUUUGACAUGAGGCCUGGCCCCAGGGAAACCAGUGGGGCCUCAUCUCCUCCCUGUGCUGCUCUGAGGUGGAGCCUUCUCAGGGUCAGUCCAGCUCUGGAGCCCCUCUCCAGCUCGGUCACCAAAGCUGUCUGGUCCCAGGGCAGUGUGGAGUGACAGGCACGCCAGCCAAUCCAAUCGGCCAUUUCAUACCCAAUGCAUGUGACUGAUAAAGAGAUAACACCCUGUCUCCAAGACACAGGCUUUACAUAAACAGCUUUAAUGACUUCUUCACUUAGGGACAAGACUCCUUAGUGGUGGAACCUCAGGCAUCCAUGCAGGAUGUAAGAAAGCUCCCGUAUAUACAUGAACUGAGAAGUGUGUAGAAGAGUAAAUACUGUAAUAGGUAAUAAAAUGUAUGUAUUUUUAUUUAUGUG